GCCCCAAGACUGGCUGCUGGAUCAGUGAGAGCGCUAGAGAGGUGAUUUGAGAUUUGGGAAUAGGGGUAUGAUUAUAAUUACAAAGCGAAGCACAUGUCUGAGACCAGUACAACCCAAAAGGCUCGUAACGAGUGUCCAACAGCAUUUCACACAGAACCUGAGCUUGUCUGGGAUUCAGGGAGGGCUCCCUGGAGGAAGUGACAUCAGAGCCAGGGCCUGAACAGGCAGGCUAUAAGAAUUAUCCAAAAGAAGCAGGGAGGCAAGAAGAGUGGCUCUGUUGAAGCAAAUGCACAGGAAGAGCAAAGAGUUUUCUUCAGGUUGAAGAAAAGUCGGUGUGUCUGUGGGCUCCUGGGUCAAUAUGGUGCCAGAGGUGGAUUGAGGGGGACCGAACUUGAUCUUGAGGGCAGGGAGAGCCAGAAGAAGGUUGUCAGGGAGUGAUAUACCCCUUAUGGCCCCCAAAGCGCCCUCUGGCUGCUGUGUGAAGAAGGUUCUCAAAGGGGAGCAGAGUGGAGAAGCCAUGGUUUGGUUAAUGCUCCAGUUCUGAGGGUGGACAGGCCAGGUGUGUGUCCUGAGUCAGCAUUCCUGGUCUUUGGGCAAGUUACCUAGCCUCUCUAUGCCCUAGCUUUCCCAUCUAUGAAAUGGGUAGGACGGUAGUGCCCAUCUCAAGCAGUUGUCAUCAAGAUUGAAUGAGAUAACCUAGCAAAGUUUGGGGGGGCUGGAAGUUGAGGGGGCAGCAGCGAUGACCCCACCAUCAAGCGGACUCCUAGGAGGAGGAAGGAGGUGCUCCUCGUGGAGUUCACGUGGCUGUGGCCAGAGUGCCCACGACCUCUGUCUGGCCAGAUUUCCGUGGUGUCCUCCCCUCCAUCCUCUGCCAUGUUCACCGGAAGGACGUCUACACUUCCAACUCAUGGGUACCAGAUUCAGAACUUGCCAAGGGGAGGUCCCGUCAUGGCCCAGCGGAGACGAAUCUGACCAGGAACCAUGAGGCUGCGGGUUCGAUCCCUGGCCUCUCUCAGUUAAGGAUCCAGCGUUGUCAUAACUGUGGCAGAUUCCACUCGGAUCCAGCGUUGCUGUGGCUGUGGCGUAGGCUGGCAGCUGUAGCUCCGAUUAGACCCCUAGCCUGGGAACCUCCACAUGCCGCAGAUGCGGCCCUAAAAAAAAGAACUUGUCACGGCUCUCCUGGGGCUCAGGGUCACCAUUCCCCUUGGUUCAAGACCAAAGCCUCCAGCCUCCUGCUACCCUUAGGCCCAC
rnacentral:lncRNA from 1 species